UGGGCGUUCUUAGACAGCAGUGACUUUUCUCAGAAGGGGUUUGGGAUGGUGACUCCUGCUUCCUCAGAGUGACGGAGAACUAUUGAGAAUAUCAACCCUUAGGAUGUGGGUGUAUUUGCUUAGUUUUUUGUCAUGAGCCUAGCCUACAGCGGGAGGCACCGGUCUGCCCCACAGCUGCAGGGCAUCUGGCCUUCUGCACUGGCUCCUUUGAGGGCCCAGCCCUAUCUGUCUGCCUGGAAUAUUUCUAUCUAACUCAGUAGCCUGUAACAGUUUUGCAUAGAAAAACACUUCGGAAAAGUACUGGUCCGAGGCCUAGAAAGAAAGCACCCGGUGUUACCCUGCAUCCCUGGGCCAAGGCAGCCUCUUCCUGAAGUCUCGGUUGCUUCUUGCUUAACCUUGAUCCCUUGGUUAAGGCGCGGUCUCCACCUUGAUGUUACAGAUUUUCCCUACCUUGUUCAUUAGGAUAAGGCCGUUAAGCCCAGCUAUACUCAAAGGGAGAGGAGCUGAAUUCCAUGCCCUGGAGAAAUCUGUUCAGCCUUUCCAGUACUAAUACACACAUUUAAGAAGAGGAGCUCGGAGAUCCUGCCAGGAUUGCGUUUCUCUGUGAAAUCCCUCCUGUGGCCUGCAGUGUCCUCCAGUGGACCUUGACUGCAGUGAGCUCCUUUUAUUCUUUUCCUCCUCCUCUCUUGCUGCAUGGUUGUCUAAUGGACUGCUUCCUACCUGGGGGAAAGCGGCCAGAAUGGCAGUUCAGAGACUUGGCAGACUUACCUCUGGGUACCUGACUUUCUGGUUUGGGUAGAUUUGUGGCUUCUGCAUUUCUGGGAAUCUGGUCUCCGGAACACUUCCUCGCCAUGGUUCAUCAACCGGUCCACUCAUGCGCUAUUGACCGCAUUUAGCCCACAGGGACAGUCUGGAUUCUGUGGCUCAUCCUAGGCUACGGGGGAAAUGUUGAUUGAGGCUGCCUGUCAUUCGAGAGGAUCACACAACGCCUGAGAAAGAGAAAUGUUUGGAAAAGCAGCAGUGCCAUCUUGUGGAACUUUUGGCGGCUUUAAAUUCGCCACAGCGCCACUGCAGGGCUCCACCACGUUCCACGGCAGGAGACCCAGGACGCAGGCCUCUGCGGGGCGUCUAGAUCGAAGUCCAGCAGGCCCUGUCAGUCCUCAUGGACACAUGCAGAGAGGCUCACAGCAAGACGCCCAGGACCAGGGAGGAUGGAGCACCUCGGAGCACCCCUUGCCUGUGAGCAGAUGACAUGGAAACCAGAUGGCCAGAGGGUUGCUUGGUCCUCAUAAAAUCAGCACAAGAGGUACCUGGUAACCUGCUGUGUCAAUCUUUUCUCUAUUUAUUUUUGCUUUCUUUCUGGUGCUAGGGAUCAAACCUAAUCUUGUGCAUGCUAAGCACACACCCCCGACUGAGCAAGCCCAGCCCGUGCCCAUGGUUCAAUCAGAGACAGCAGAGCCGUCAUGAAAAGUGAACAUUCUGUCACCCGGGUUCGCUCCUCUUGGAGGCUCUUGCUUGGGCCUAUACUAUGUUGCUUGUCGUGGCGUCUGUCCUGUGCUCCUUGACUGACCCAGUGCUGUCCUCAUUGAUUGUUCAGUGAUUGAAAGCUACUUGGUGGGCAUCUGCAAUGUGCCAGGUGUCAUCGCCAGUCUCAGACACACAGUGGGGAAUAAAAAAAAUUUGCUGCAGUCUCAAGACUUACACUCUAAUAGGAUUAAAAAUCAACAAAAUUAAAAAGAAAGCUGUGUAAUUUAGGUGAUGAUUCAGUUCUAUAAAGAAAACCGAGAUUGGGCAACAGGUUGGAGUACAGGGACUGGUCUCAGCUGCGCUCCCUCUGUCCUGUGUCUGUCUGUCUCUCACGAGCUCUUCUGCUUGCAGUACUGGUGGCUGAACCCAGGACCUUUGCCCUGAGCUGCAUUCACCUCCCUUAAUAGUUUUUCAUUUUCAGACAGGGUCUUGCUAAGUUUCUCUGGCUAUGCACGACCCUGCAAUUCUCCUGCAUCAGCCUCCUCAGUGCUGGGAUUAGAAGGGUGACUACCACAGCUGGCUUGUGACAAUGUCCUUGAAAGGACAACUUCAAGCACUUUUCUUCUCUGAGGCUCUGCCUCCAUCAUGAAUGACAGUAACUAUCUAGACUGGCAAGAAACUAUCCAGACCAACUAACUGCUUCUCAGGAUGUAAAUGGUCAUUGAUGUCCUUUGCCCUGGGAAAGGAACAGUACCUAAGACAGAAAUUAGGAAAAACUCGCUGAAAUGUACAUCAGAUGUCUUUAAAAAAAUUUUUUUUUUGGUCAUUUUGACACAGGGUUUUGCUGUGUAGUUCAGGCUGGCCUCAGACUCACAGUGAUCCUCCUGCCUUAGUCCCCUGAGUGCUGGGGUCACAGACAUGUUCCACCUCGCCCCAGAUGUCACUGUUGUACUUGGAUUUAUCUUGGUAGUGGAAAGACAACUGGGUUGGGCAUGAUAUGUGAUUUCUUGGAUUCCACGAAGAAAAAUGAAUCCACAUCUGGAAAGCAGUGAGGAAGACAGCAGAGCAGUGAGCAGCAGAAGGGCCUGUCUGGGAUUUGAUGUCCAGAACUACAACACAGUAACAUGAAGACAAUAAAGAGGGAAGCGGGUCCUGGGACCCAGGGAGGGCCUAAAGGGACAACUGCAGCCUGCAGGGCGAACAAGGAGAGCAACUUCAACAAAGGAGGAGGUGGCAGGUGGCGCUUUCUACCUGAGUGUGGACUCACUCCCUGGGAGGGGCGGCUCAGAACAGCACACGCACAGUGACACUGGGAACCCCAGAGGCCCCUGCAGAGAAAUGCACCAGAGUGGAGGGAACAGAGUGGAGGACGGAACAAAUGGAACAGAGUGGAGGAUGCAGCAGACUGCAGCGGCUGGUGAGACACCCAGGUUCAGAUCUCUCCCAGAAGGGCAACUGAGCAGGGGCUGCUUGUAGAGGCCAACUGAUCUCAGAAGCAGAGCAACUGCUGCUCCUACAAACAAACGUGAGGCACAUGGAGUGCUUCAGGGUAAACAGGCGCGGCUCCAGCCUCGUGAUCAGAAUCUGAACUUCAGUGGAAAUAAAGGCGCAGGGCUGUAGGGAUUUCCCACUGCCCCACUGGGAAGCUACUGAUGGCUCUCUUGGCUUAAUCAGCACAGAUCUGGACUCUGCCCACACCGUCUACUAGUGAAAGCAGAGACACCCCGUGAAGUGGACAUUUUUUUCUUUUCUCUCUUUUGUUUUCUUUGGUUGUUUUUUUUUUUUCUUCAUUGCUCAUUCUUGUUUUUAGAUGAGUGUGAACAUGGUUUCUAAUUUUUGUUGCUGUUUUGUUCUAUUCUUGUUUUUAAUUCUUCUUUCUCUCCUCCUGUCUUCUUCACCAGUUUCCUAGAGCUUGUGUGAUGCUCUUUGGUCUUCCAGUCUCCCUCCCCUUCCCCCUCCAUCAUCAUCCUCCUCCCCCACCCCCUCCCCUCCUCUUCUUCUUCUUGAGAAAGAGUGUUGCUGUGUAGUUCAGGCUGGCCUGGACUCACGAUGGAAUGGCCCUAAACUUGCAGCAAUCCUCCUGACUCAGCCUCCCAAGUGCCAGGGUUACAGGCAUGUGCCACCAUGCCCAGUUCCAUCAUUGCUUCUAAUCUCUUCCUUUUCUUCUGUUUCUCUAUUUUCCCCUCUUACCCCUUUAAAAUUUUCUCCCCUUUAAUAAAAAAAUGGACAUCUGAAAUGAACAGAGACUUCAGAUUAAGAAGUAGAAAAGGUGAAUGAACAUAUGAAAAAAUGUUCACUAUCACUGGUCAUUUGAGUAGUGCAAAUUAAAACAAUGCUGAGAGCCCCUCUCUCCCCAGAAAAAAAUGCCUAAUAUCAAGAAAUCAACCAAUAACAAAUGCUGUGGGGCUGUGGGGAAAAGGAACCCUUCUCCUCCACUGUUGAUAGGAGUGUAUCCUGGGACAACCACUGUGGAACUGGCAUGGAGAUUCCUGAACAACACAAAACGAGAGGUUUCAUUUGACCCAGCUCUUUUCCUUCUUGGUGUCUUCUUGAAAGAAUUAAGAGCAUCAUACCACAGUGAUACAUGUGCAUCUGUGUUUAUAGUGCCACAGGUUUUAACAGCUGAAUCUUGGAAACAGUCCAAAUGCCCAUCAAUUGAUGAAUAGAUAAAAAAAGAUGUGGUUUUUGUACCAUGGAGUACUAGUCUGCCAUAAAGAAGGAUAACCCUGAGAAAUUUCUAGCUAAAUAGAGGCUCCUUGAGGCCAUACUCUUAAGAGAAAUAAAUCAGACACACAUGUGUAAAUACUACAUUGUUUCUCUUAUGUGAGAAAUUGAAAGUGUAAAUAAGCACUGAAAUACAUAAUAGAAAUUGUGAAACAGAAAAUGUUUAAAUGGGAAGGAGGAAACAGAGAUGGGGAGGAGAAAAGGAAAAAGUGGAAAUAAAGCUUUUGUCAGUCCAUACUCCAUACUCUAGAGGGAGAGGAGUUGGAGGGAAAGCAGGAUGAUGGGAAAGAGAAAAAUUAUAUCAUGUACAGGUAGAAAUUCCCUAUGCUGAGUGUGAUAAACAUAAUUAAAAAAAAGAGAAGCCACCAGCUCACCUCCCUGGUAAGUGGCUCAGGCAAGCUGUGGCUGCCCCGGGGAGAACCACUGGCCUCUGCCAAGAUCUGCACCAUGUUGGAACUUGGGGCACUAGGAAACCAAGCCAGCUGCUGGACUCCCUGGUAAGCAGCUGUGAGCCUGAGGGCUGAAAAUCAAACAUCCCAUACCCCCCUCCUUAGCAAACAGGAGUCAGAGGUCUGAGCAUCUUUUGGGAAGAUGACCAUAUGCAAUAUUCUUCUACCAUCUCUUUGAAGGCAAAUAUUGUUAUGACUGUUUUGCUUUGUUCUGAUUAAUGGUAUCGCUCUAUUCAAUAUUGUUUUGAUAAGUUCUAUAGUGUUCUGUAUUUCACUUGAUUUUGCUAUACCUGAUUGAAAGCACAACAAGAUAUACUGUGGAACCUAUCACUGUUAUCCCGGUAACCUGCUGUGAGUUCUGUACAGUUUCACUGCACAAUCUCAAUUGGCUUUGUUCCGUCUUGUUCUGUUGUAUUUUACUACCUUUAAAAUAAUAGAGAGAGAGAGAGAGAGAGAGAGAGAGAGAGAGAGAGAGAGAGAGAGAGAGAAAGCAGUAGAAGGAAAGCAAGGACAGCAGAGGUUGGGGGACCGCAAAGGCCGAUGCUGGUGCUGGCAGGACGCUGAACGAGUGAACAUUCUGCAGCGUCUGUAAGCAGUGACUGUACGAGCUUUCACGAGAGGGCUGAUGAGUCACAAAAUUACAAAAAUAAAACUAAAAGGAGUACUUUGAGCAGAGACCCGAAUGAUGGAAGGGCGUGUCCUGCGGAAGGCUCCAAGUCUGAGGUCACAGGCGGUCAGGGCAGAGGCCUGGAGGUGGGGAGAGCUUACAGGCUUCCAGGGAAAGUGAGGUGGCCGUGGUGGCCACUCGACUCUGUGUUUGCCCUCCGUACCUGUGGACUCUGCGUCUGUGGACCCAGCCAACCACAGACAAAGCAGACUUCAGACUGAGACCCGUGUCUGCUGUGAACACGGAGACUGUGUGUACCACUACUCCGGACAGAUGACGUGUAACAGCUGUUCACACGGUACUUGCAAUGCAGGAGAUACUCUAGGUAGCCUGGAGAGAAUCUCGCGUAUACGGAGGAUGCACUUACGGUUCACGUCGCUCUCUGCUAUUUUAUGUGAGUUUUGCACACCCUCAGACUUGAGCAUCCCCAGGCUUCCUGCAGCCAGUCCCUUGUAGAUAACGAAGGACAACAGUGUUUUUAACUUACGGAAACUGUAUUUGCCGUAGAUUUUGUGUCUCAUGUUUUACAUUUACUGUUGUAUUCUGGGGACCUACCAUUUCUCAGAAGGUACUUGCCAUGUUUUCCUCUGCAUUUCUUAGGGGGACACCUGGGCUCCUCCUGAUUCCCUCGGGUACCAUCAGCCGGGGGCAGUGUCUUGUGCACAUCUUGUGUAGGUUUGUGCUCUUCUCCCAGGCUUCUGUGGAGAAAUGACUGCUGGCCCACAGGGUAAGUGCACACCUAAUUUCACUGAAGAUGGUUCCUAACCAUGGUUCCUCCUUCAUCCUGUUACUGUGGUGCUGACUGAUGGUGGUAUGUUGAACGAGCCCAUACCCCAGAAACAAAUCUCAUCUGGUCAUGGUGUGAUUUGCUGCUUCAGCUGUUUGAGAGUAUUUUUUUUGGUAGUGUCUUUGGCCUCGCUAUCAUGCGCAUGCUAGCCUUGUAGAACAAAUUGGGCAGCGCUCCCUCCUGUUUGAGAAAGAGCAGCGUUAGGAGUUGGCAGGGAAGCCCCUGCCCCUACAUUUUCUCUGGGGGUUUUGCUGAAUCCUCUUAGUAGUUACACAUGUAGCCACAGCUUUGUCUUUCUACCAGAGUUUCACGGGGUUGUGUUUCUGGGAAGUCUACUGUUUUAUCUAGACAGCAACCCAAGUUCCUGUCUCAUAGUCCUUUGUGUUCCUACAACAUCAGUGUGCUGUCUGUUUAUUUUAGACUGGGCUGUGCCAUGCUGCCCAGGCUGCUGAUUUCCUUUCUCUUUUGAGACAAAGGGCUGCUGUGCUUCAGGCUGGCCUGGAGGCCUGUGCUCACCCCUGGCUCUGGAGCAGCCCACUCUGCCCCACGCCCUGACCUCAGUCGAUACCAUCUUUUGACUUUCUCAAGUAGUGCCCCAGUGGUAACUGUAUUUCCGUAUUUUAUUUUUUAUUUAUGUUUUUACUUUGGUACUUACGACCUUGCGCUUGCCAGGCAGGCGCUGAGCCAAGUCCCGGGCCCUGCUUCUGUAUCUUCAUCCCCAGAACCGGUGGUGCUUCCUUCCCGGCCCGGGUGCUAUGCAGGUGCUCAGGGAGAGGCUGAACCCCAGCUCUACCCCCUCCUUCCCCUGCCCUGGGCCCUGUGACGGGCAGGCUGCACAGCUGGGAGAAGGGGUGCACUCAGGAGGACGGGACUGUUCCACUUCCCUGUCAUUCAUUCCUGUCCCCAUUUUCUUAGGGCCAUGGGUAACCACCAGUGCUUUGAUGGUGAUGGGAGAGUGUUAAAGUCCUUUUUCUAAGCAGCUUGGAGCAGAGUGGUGGGAGGAAACUGAAGUGAGUUUGUAAACAAUAUAGGAGUCCAAGCAGCCAAACUGAUAAAUUUGGAAUUUUAUUAGCUGAGCUCAAUGACCACCAUAGACCCAUUUCAGAGUUUAAACGAGUGGUGCAGAACUGGAGGGCUACAGGGCAUUAAAGCAAAAAACUGUGAAGCAAGGCAUCCUGUGGAAGCAAUUUAGCUAGAAUCCUGCAUUAAUUUUGGUUGACACCUGUAUCCUGCUUCUUUGUUGAGCAGGUUAAUUCUUGUCUUGUGGUGCAGCUCAUUCUGCUUUUCUCACGGGACUUGUACCCUGGGUGAUUUUUCACUCCACUGGGUCAAACACAGGGCACAAGACGGAGUCAGUUAGGCCAAGCUCCAACAGAAAAGAACGCAGAUCCAGUGAGCAUGAGGCUGGGAGGAGGAGCAGACAGAUGGACAGAUGGUGGGGUGGCCUCAGUGAGUUUCGGGGACACUGGGAAGGCCUGGACUGCCCAGUGAGGGAAGUGGCACCCCCAGCCGCGAGCUCUUCCUCGGGAGGACUGGACAACCCAGCCUGCCGGUGGGCGAGCGGGAGGGCAGGGGGAGCCCAGGUCAGUCUGAGCGAGGAAUGCAUGGAUUGCUGGGCCAUGGGCGUGAGUGACCCCAGAACAGGCCUGCGUCUGAAUGAACAAAAGGGCAAGGAGGAAGGCAGGCUGCUGGUCUCCUCAGGUGCCAGUCUCCACCUCCAACUUGAAGGCCCACUGCAGGAAGCCGUGGCCUUGCACUGAAUCCUGGGGUCCCCACGGUGCUGAGGGCUUUGUUUUCUUUCUUUUAGAGACGGGGUCUCGCUAUGCAGUUGGAACUCACUUUGUAGCCCCAGGCUAGUGUUGAAUUUGCAACAAUCCUCCUGCCUCAGCCUCCCAAGUGCUGGCCAGUCUGGUAAACUCAUACACAUUUAUCUAUCUUUCGUCAAAUCUGCUUCUGUGUGCGGACAGAAUCUUGUACAACGGGAUUUCACUUUGUAGGUGAUUUUAGGGUUACGGGAUUGUUAACAGAGGCGCGCCUCACUCAGACCUGUUUCAGGAGAGUGAAUUGGUGUGAAGGAGGACUGGGAGUCCUGGCUGAAACUCCUGCACACAGAACCUCAGCUGCUCCCCGUUCUAGGUGAGGAAAGGGGCAGAAGGCUGGGUCUCUGCCAGCGGCCACACAGUGUCUGGGCACUGACUUGAGCGCUAACCAGGCUGUACACCAUGAGUCCGGAGCUCCAGCAUGGCCCUCCUGUGCUGCACGCAAUAGAAGAGGAGCCGGGAGAGGCGCUGUCCAGCAGCAGAACUAAGGCGUAGGAGUGGGCAGGAGGGGAGGACCUUUGGGGCCCCGAGGAAACAAAUGGCUGGAUCUCGACUGUAAUGGGGAAGUGAGGAGUGGGUGCCUGGGGUGCCUGAUCUGGGUGGAGCCCUCCAAGCCAGAGCAGGCCCACGGGGAGGAGGCCACCGGACAGGGUCAGAGGUGCUGCCUGAGCCUGUCCUACAGGGACCGCAGAGAGCUGCUAAGCCUGGUGGCCAGGUGGAUAGACUCACAAGGACGCUGGUGAGGUUGGGGCUCACUCUCAGGCCCUCCCUCCGAACUGGGGGAGCACAGAGGAAUACGGCAACUCACAAAAUACUAGAGGCCUCAUGACCAUGCGCAACAAAAUGAGGGUAAGUGAACACAUACCCAAGGGCAGGUUCUGUUUUCAGGAUGCCCGCCACCGUCAAGGUGGAGGACUGUGCUUCUGGGAGGGCGCUGGCAGGUCUGGUCGCUUAUCUGACAGAAGAAUGACCUGCCUCCCUUCUAAAGGGUGUCAGGCAGUUUGUAGCAACCACAAUGAUGCAGAAAAUUAAUGACUGGUUUGCUAUAGAUGCAGAAAUUUCCUUUUGGCUUUGAAAAACUGAAAUGGUUUCUUUCCCCUUAUUUUUGGUGCUGGAGCUCAAACCUCAGGCCCCGAGUGCACCUGGCAAACGCCAUACCACCA